CCUACGGGUGGCAGCAGUGGGGAAUAUUGCACAAUGGGCGAAAGCCUGAUGCAGCAACGCCGCGUGAAGGAAGACGGUUUUCGGAUUGUAAACUUCUAUCAAUAGGGAAGAAAGAAAUGACGGUACCUCUUGAAUAAGCCACGGCUAACUACGUGCCAGCAGCCGCGGUAAUACGUAGGUGGCAAGCGUUGUCCGGAUUUACUGGGUGUAAAGGGCGUGCAGCCGGGAAGGCAAGUCAGAUGUGGAAUCCCGCGGCUCAACCGCGGAACUGCAUUUGAAACUGUUUUUCUUGAGUACCGGAGAGGUCAUCGGAAUUCCUUGUGUAGCGGUGAAAUGCGUAGAUAUAAGGAAGAACACCAGUGGCGAAGGCGGAUGACUGGACGGCAACUGACGGUGAGGCGCGAAAGCGUGGGGAGCAAACAGGAUUAGAUACCCUUGUAGUC
rnacentral:rRNA from 1 species